rnacentral:rRNA from 1 species
GAUGAACGCUGGCGGCGUGCCUCAAACAUGCAAGUCGAGCGGGGCUAUGUUGGACCGUAAGGGAAGAUAUAGCCUAGCGGCGAACGGGUGAGUAACACGUGGGUAACCUACCUGGAAGACAGGGAUAACGAUUCGAAAGGGUCGCUAAUACCUGAUAAUAUCUAACAGUCGGAUGGCAGUUAGAAGAAAGGGGAAACCCGCUUUCAGAUGGGCCCGCGUCCCAUCAGCUAGUUGGUAAGGUAAAGGCUUACCAAGGCGACGACGGGUAGCCGGUCUGAGAGGAUGUACGGCCACACUGGGACUGAGAUACGGCCCAGACUCCUACGGGAGGCAGCAGUUGGGGAAUAUUGCACAAUGGGCGAAAGCCUGAUGCAGCGACGCCGCGUGAGGGAUGACGGCCUCGGUUGUUAACGUACUUUCUAGUCAGGAAGAAGACGAAAGUAGACGGUAACCGUCGCAGAAGAAAGACACCGGACGUAACUAACGUGCCACGCAGCCGCGGUAACGUAAUACACGUGUA